GUGUAAAGGCACAAGGGAGCUUGACUGCGAGACCUACAAGUCGAGCAGGGACGAAAGUCGGGCUUAGUGACCCGGUGGUUCCGCAUGGAAGGGCCAUCGCUCAACGGAUAAAAGCUACCCCGGGGAUAACAGGCUUAUCUCCCCCAAGAGUCCACAUCGACGGGGAGGUUUGGCACCUCGAUGUCGGCUCAUCACAUCCUGGGGCUGAAGUAGGUCCCAAGGGUUGGGCUGUUCGCCCAUUAAAGCGGUACGCGAGCUGGGUUCAGAACGUCGUGAGACAGUUCGGUCCCUAUCCGUCGCGGGCGCAGGAAAUUUGAGAGGAGCUGUCCUUAGUACGAGAGGACCGGGAUGGACGUACCGCUGGUGCACCAGUUGUUUCGCCAGAAGCAUGGCUGGGUAGCUACGUACGGACGGGAUAAGCGCUGAAAGCAUCUAAGCGUGAAGCCCCCCUCAAGAUGAGAUUUCCCAAUUAGUAAGACCCCUUGAAGACGACGAGGUAGAUAGGUUGGAGGUGGAAGUGCAGUAAUGCAUGGAGCUGACCAAUACUAAUCGGUCGAGGGCUUAUCCUA
rnacentral:rRNA from 1 species